rnacentral:rRNA from 1 species
AACGAACGCUGGCGGCAUGCCUAACACAUGCCAGUCGAACGAGACCUUCGGGUCUAGUGGCGCACGGGUGCGUAACGCGUGGGAACCUGCCCUUAGGUUCGGAAUAACUCCCCGAAAGGGGUGCUAAUACCGGAUAAUGUCUUCGGACCAAAGAUUUAUCGCCUUUGGAUGGGCCCGCGUUGGAUUAGCUAGUUGGUAGGGUAAAAGCCUACCAAGGCGACGAUCCAUAGCUGGUCUGAGAGGAUGAUCAGCCACACUGGGACUGAGACACGGCCCAGACCCCUCCGGAUGGGGGCAGGGGGGAAGAUUGAACAAGGGGCGAAGGCCUAAUCCAUCAAUGCCGCGUAAGUAUGGAAGGCCUUAGGGUUGAAAAGCUCUUUUACCCGGGAUGGUAAGAACGGUACCGGGGAAAAAGGCUCCGGCUAACUCCGU